rnacentral:ncRNA from 1 species
UCCUAGUAGCAAUUGAUUAUUUUACCAAAUGGGUUGAAGCAACAUCUUACAGGGUAGUGACUAAGAAAGUUGUGGCGGAUUUCGUCCGAGACCGUAUCGUGUAUCGGUUUGAAAUUCUAGAGUCAAUCAUUACUGAUAAUGACUCCAACCUCAACAAUGAUUUGAUGAAAUCCAUGUGUGAAACCUUCAAGAUCAAACACAAGAAUUCUACAGCCUACAAACCUCAGAUGAAAGGAGCCAUAGAGGACGCCAACAAGAAUAUCAAGAAGAUACUAAGGAAAAUGAUAGAGAAGAAGAACACCAACGGCGAAAGCACUCUGCUGGGCCGACACUGACACUGAGAGACGAAAGCUAGGGGAGCGAAUGGGAUUAGAUACCCCAGUAGUCCUAGCCGUAAACGAUGGAUACUAGGCGCUGUGCGUAUCGACCCGUGCAGUGCUGUAGCUAACGCGUUAAGUAUCCCGCCUGGGGAGUACGUUCGCAAGAAUGAAACUCAAAGGAAUUGACGGGGGCCCGCACAAGCGGUGGAGCAUGUGGUUUAAUUCGAUGCAAAGCGAAGAACCUUACCAGGGCUUGACAUGC